UACGAGGGGUGCAAGCGUUGCUCGGAUUUAUUGGGCGUAAAGGGUAGGUAGGUGGUCUCAUUUGUCUGGGGUGAAAGCCUUGAGCUUAACUCAAGAAGUGCCCCGGAAACGGUGAGACUAGAGUACUGGAGAGGGUCGUGGAAUUCCCGGUGUAGCGGUGAAAUGCGUAGAGAUCGGGAGGAACACCAGAGGCGAAGGCGGCGACCUGGACAGUUACUGACAC
rnacentral:rRNA from 1 species